rnacentral:rRNA from 1 species
CCUACGGGUGACAGCAGUGAGGAAUAUUGGUCAAUGGUCGGGAGACUGAACCAGCCAAGCCGCGUGAGGGAGGAAGGUACAGAGUAUCGUAAACCUCUUUUGUCAGGGAACAAAGGCGGGGACGUGUCCCCGGAUGAGUGUACCUGAAGAAAAGGCAUCGGCUAACUCCGUGCCAGCAGCCGCGGUAAUACGGAGGAUGCGAGCGUUAUCCGGAUUUAUGGGGUUUAAAGGGUGCGCAGGCGGUCUGUUAAGUCAGCGGUCAAAGCCCGGGGCUCAACCCCGGCCCGCCGUUGAAACUGGCAGUCUCGAGUUGGAGAGAAGUAUGCGGAAUGCGCGGUGUAGCGGUGAAAUGCAUAGAUAUCGCGCAGAACUCCGAUUGCGAAGGCAGCAUGCCGGCUCCACACUGACGCUGAGGCACGAAAGCGUGGGUAUCGAACAGGAUUAGAUACCCUUGUAGUC